UGGGGAAUAUUGCACAAUGGGCGCAAGCCUGAUGCAGCAACGCCGCGUGAGGGACGACGGCCUUCGGGUUGUAAACCUCUUUUAGUAGGGAAGAAGCGAAAGUGACGGUACCUGCAGAAAAAGCACCGGCUAACUACGUGCCAGCAGCCGCGGUAAUACGUAGGGUGCGAGCGUUGUCCGGAAUUAUUGGGCGUAAAGAGCUCGUAGGCGGUCUGUCGCGUCUGCUGUGAAAACCCGAGGCUCAACCUCGGGCCUGCAGUGGGUACGGGCAGACUAGAGUGCGGUAGGGGAGAAUGGAAUUCCUGGUGUAGCGGUGGAAUGCGCAGAUAUCAGGAGGAACACCGAUGGCGAAGGCAGUUCUCUGGGCCGUAACUGACGCUGAGGAGCGAAAGCGUGGGGAGCGAACAGGAUUAGAUACCCUGGUAGUCCACGCCGUAAACGUUGGGCGCUAGAUGUGGGGACCAUUCCACGGUUUCCGUGUCGCAGCUAACGCAUUAAGCGCCCCGCCUGGGGAGUACGGCCGCAAGGCUAAAACUCAAAGGAAUUGACGGGGUCAUAGCUG
rnacentral:rRNA from 1 species